rnacentral:rRNA from 1 species
UACGGAGGGAGCUAGCGUUGUUCGGAAUUACUGGGCGUAAAGCGCGCGUAGGCGGCUUUGUAAGUUAGAGGUGAAAGCCCGGGGCUCAACUCCGGAACUGCCUUUAAGACUGCAUCGCUUGAAUCCGGGAGAGGUGAGUGGAAUUCCGAGUGUAGAGGUGAAAUUCGUAGAUAUUCGGAAGAACACCAAUGGCGAAGGCAGCUCGCUGGGACGGUACUGACGCUGAGACGCGAAAGCGUGGGGAGCAAACAGG